GGUUGCCCACUUCCAGGCCAGCUCUCUGCUGUGGCCUGGGGGUGCAGUGGAGGAUGGCCCGAGUGCUUGGGCCCUGCACCCCAUGGGAGACCAGGAGAAGCACCUGGCUCCUGCCAUCGGAUCAGCGCCGGGGCGGCCGGCCCAGCGCGCCGGCCGCGGUGGCCGUUGGAGGGUGAACCAACGGCAAAGGAAGACCUUUCUCUCUGUCUCUCUCUCACUGUCCACUCUGCCUGUAAAAAAAAAAAAAAAAAAAAAAAAAAAAAUGUAAUUUUUAGGGUGAAGAAUGGGCCUAAAUGGGAACUUUUUAGUUAUUGUUUAAUUUAUUUAUUUGAGAGCCAAAGUUACAGAGAAAGUAGGAGGAAGAGAGAGAGAAAGGUUUUCCAUCCUCUGAUUCACUCCCCAAAUGGCCACAACGGCCAGAGAUGGGCUGAUCCAAAGCCAGGAGCCUGCAGUUUCUUCCAGGUGUCCCCACGUGGGUGCAGAUGCACAAGUACUUUGGCCAUUUUGCUUCUUUCCAGGCCAUCAGCAGAGAGCUGGAUUGGAAGAGGAGCAGCCAGGACAUUAACUGGUGCCCUAAUGGGAUGCUGGCAUCACAGGCAGAUGCUUAAUCUACUAUACCACAGUGCAGACCCCAAAUUUCAAUUUUUUAGAAAGUUGUCAUGCCAAGCCACCUUGCACUUAAAAGGACUGAGAUAUUUCAGCACUAUGACAGGUCUCUGGGAUUUUAACUCUGUUCUUGGUAGACAAGAUUAUGAAGCUCUUCAGCUACAAAAACAAAGCAUUUCUUUAAGAAAAUGCUUCUCUCAAACCGCAGAGUCUUUUGCUAAGAAGAAUAAGGAACUAGAUGUGAGGUUUUCAAACAUAUUGGAUUGUUUCCUACUUUCCACAAUAUUUGUAUUCAUCAGUGUUGGCAUACUACUACCAAUAAGGAAGAGCACUAACCAUGUAGUAAAAGGAGCAUUGGCUGAGUGGCGCAAUAGAGUAACAAUUUCAAGCUAAGUACUAAUAAAGCCUACCAGUAUAUAAAAGCUCUUGAGAAU
rnacentral:lncRNA from 1 species